rnacentral:rRNA from 1 species
UACGUAGGUGGCGAGCGUUGUCCGGAUUUACUGGGCGUAAAGAGCGCGCAGGCGGUCGUACAAGUCGCGUGUGAAAGCCCCCGGCUCAACUGGGGAGGGUCACGCGAUACUGUUCGACUCGAAGGCAGGAGAGGGAAGUGGAAUUCCCGGUGUAGUGGUGAAAUGCGUAGAUAUCUGGAGGAACACCGGUGGCGAAGGCGGCGUUCUGGACUGCAACUGACACUGAGGAACGAAAGCCAGGGGAGCAAACGGG